GCGCAGCAGGCGCGAAACUCCGCAAUACACGAAAGUGUGACGGGGCCAUCCCGAGUGCCGUCCGCUGAGGACGGCUUUUCCCCAGUGUACACAGCUGGGGGAAUAAGGAGAGGGCAAGCCUGGUGUCAGCCGCCGCGGUAAUACCAGCUCUCCGAGUGGUGGGGACGCUUAUUGGGCCUAAAGCAUCCGUAGCCGGCUGGGCAAGUUCUCCGUUAAAUCCAACGAUUCAAUCGUUGGGCUGCGGGGGAUACUGUCCAGCUUGGGGGCGGGAGAGGCCGACGGUAUUCCCGGGGUAGGGGUGAAAUCCUAUAAUCCCGGGAGGACCACCAGUGGCGAAGGCUGUCGGCUAGAACGCGCCCGACGGUGAGGGAUGAAAGCUGGGGGAGCGAACCGGAUUAGAUACCCCUGUAGU
rnacentral:rRNA from 1 species